rnacentral:rRNA from 1 species
UACGGGGGGGGCAAGCGUUGUUCGGAAUUACUGGGCGUAAAGCGCGCGUAGGCGGCCAACUAAGUCGGAUGUGAAAUCCCCAGGCUUAACUUGGGAACUGCAUCCGAUACUGGAUGGCUUGAAUCCGGGAGAGGGAUGCGGAAUUCCUGGUGUAGCGGUGAAAUGCGCAGAUAUCAGGAAGAACACCAAUGGCGAAGGCAGCAUCGCUCGGA